UAGAUAAGAGGAUCAAGACAAACGAAGAUUUCCUCUGGACAAUUGAAGUUCCCUUGACUGGAAAAAUCAUCAUCGACGUCGAGUUUCUUGACCUCAAGGUUCUGUCUCAAGAUGUAAGUGUUAGAAAAUAGACAGAACCUUUUUUCUUUUAUUUACUGAUAUUUAGUUGAUAUUGGCAGAGUGGGGAGUUUUACUCAAUCUGGGCAGACGGUUCAACGCAGAACCAAUCCGAAGUUACAGCGGUAACAUCCCUUGGACGUAUGUUGACAGAAAGCAUUUACACCGACAUAACAAUCAA
rnacentral:lncRNA from 1 species